GGAAGUAAGAGUCGUAACAAGGUUUCCGUAGGUGAACCUGCGGAAGGAUCAUUACAGAGUUCAUGCCCUCACGGGUAGAUCUCCCACCCUUGAAUAUUUAUACCUUAGUUGCUUUGGCAGGCCGUGGAAACACCAUGGGCUCCGGCUUAUGCGUGCCUGCCAGAGGAAACAAACUCUGUUUUUAGUGAUGUCUGAGUACUAUAUAAUAGUUAAAACUUUCAACAACGGAUCUCUUGGUUCUG
rnacentral:misc_RNA from 1 species